rnacentral:rRNA from 1 species
CGAGGUUAAGCCAAUCCCACAAAUCUGUUCUCAGUUCGGAUCGCAGUCGGCAACUCGACUGCGUGAAGCUGGAAUCGCUAGUAAUCGCGGAUCAGCAUGCCGCGGUGAAUACGUUCCCGGGCCUUGUACACACCGCCCGUCACACCACGAGAGUUUGUAACACCCGAAGUCGGUGAGGUAACCUUUUAGGAGCCAGCCGCCGAAGGUGGGACAGAUGAUGGGGGAAGUCGAACAAGGUGCUAAGAGGGGGCUAAGGAUGU